rnacentral:rRNA from 1 species
CCAAUAGCGUAUAUUAAAGUUGUUGCAGUUAAAAAGCUCGUAGUUGAAUUUCGGGGUUAGUAGGUUGGUCAUGCCUCCGGUAUGUACUGAUCUCACUGAUUCCUCCUUCCUUAUGAACCGUAAUGCCAUUAAUUUGGUGUUGCGGGGAAUUUGGACUGUUACUUUGAAAAAAUUAGAGUGUUUAAAGCAGGCUAACGCUUGAAUACAUUAGCAUGGAAUA